rnacentral:tmRNA from 1 species
GGGGCUGACAGGUUUCGACGUCAGUGUCGCUGGGCGAUCGUGCGACCCGAGUUGCUCAGACUCGUAAAACGGGGCAAAAAAACAACUGCCAACAAGCAGUUCGCUCUCGCCGCUUAAUUUAUUAAGGGGUAGAGAGCAAUCGUGAGCCGCAAGGUCGCACGGGGCCAAUUCACCGCAGCCUGGCAACAGAAGCGGGGAAUGACAUUGGGAAAGACCGAUGACGUUGGGAAAGACCAAUGGCCGAACGGAAAGACGUUCCGCGGAUAAAC